rnacentral:rRNA from 1 species
UACGGAGGGUGCAAGCGUUGUCCGGAUUUAUUGGGUUUAAAGGGUGCGUAGGCGGCUCUUUUAAGUCAGUGGUGAAAGCCGACAGCUUAACUGUCGAAAUGCCAUUGAUACUGGGGAGCUUGAGUACAGUAGAGGUAGGCGGAAUUAAUGGUGUAGCGGUGAAAUGCAUAGAUACCAUUAAGAACACCGAUUGCGAAGGCAGCUUACUAUAGUGUAACUGACGCUGAGGCACGAAAAGUGUGGGGGAUCAAAACAGG